UUGCAGGGAAAGUGCACAGAUAUCUGGCCUUCGGACCUGUCCCCUGGCAGAAGAUGAAAGCCCAAAACAGGGCCUGUCCCAGAAUUCGUGCCGCUUCUGCCUAGAAGGUGACCAGAUGUCUGGAACCCGAAACAGGGUCUGCCCCAGAAGCUGUGCAGCCUCUGCCCGUCCCAGAAGCUAUCAGUUUCUGUAGUCCACAUUCUCACCUGUGCAGACCAGUCUCUGAGGGAUCCAGGAAUCAA
rnacentral:lncRNA from 1 species